rnacentral:misc_RNA from 1 species
GGUUGCAACACCUGAGCCAAGAGUUACACGCGUCGAGGUUGAGAAAUCUAAGGAAAGGAGGGAACUGGUACAAAAGAUGAAUCGGGAUUGGGUGGAGUUUUUACAGGAAUUUGAUCAGAUUAAGGAGAUGUACCAAAUGUCGAAAUUUAAAGGUGAAGACCAUGUUAUUCCUGUGGUUAAUUUGGCACCUGAGUUGAGUUUCUUUGAUAAUGGGGCAAGAAAAAUUCUGCCACUACCUAGGGUUAAGGAAGUAGUUGAAUCUAGUAGGAAUGUUGUUGAGGAAUUUAGUAAAUCACAUAAAGAAUUUGUUCUUCCUACCCCCCCAUUCAACAAGUGAUUUCUGAGUCUCUUUCUCAAGUUCACGAGACGAGAUAUUUUGCCUCCGCCCCAAUCUCAACUCAAGAAGG